rnacentral:lncRNA from 1 species
CUUAAGCGAUCCUUCAACCUCAGCCUCCCAAAUAGUUGAAACUACAGGUGCCCACCACCACUCCUGGCUAAUUCUUUCUUUCUUGCUUGCUUGCUUGCUUGCUUGCUUGCUUGCUUGCUUGCUUGCUUGCUUUCUUUCUUUCUUUCUUUCUUUCUUUCUUUCUUUCUUUCUCUUUCUUUUUCUUUCUUUCUUUCUUCUUCUUUCUUUCUCUCUCUUUUUCUCUGUCUCUCUCUCUCUCCCUCCCUCCCUCUCUCUCUCUUUUUCUUUCUUUCUUUCUUUUUUUUUUUUUUUUGUAGCGAUAGGGUCUCACCAUGUUGCCCAGGCUGGUCUUGAACUCCUGGACUCAUCCUAAAGUGCUGGCCUCUCAUUCCCUGUCUGUGCACACCUCACGGCAAGGGCCAGCCUGUUUCCUCCCGGUCACCUCCAAAUCUUGCUGCUUUUAAUUCAACUCAGAGCAACACAGUUCCUCUGACAUGGGCCUUGGCUGUGCUUCUUUGGGGGUGAAGAGAUUGGGGAGGAAGUCUCCACCCCUGGGAGGCAGAAGCCAGGCAUAGCGCGCUGGCUAGGACUCCAGUACCGUGAAGGGAGGCAGUGAGAGCAGACAUCUGUGCCUCAUUCCUGAUCUCAAGGGGAAAGCAAGAACAAGGGAGGCUUCCUCAGGAUCUCGAACCUGCGGAAGGAGGACCAGUCUGUGUACUUCUGCCAAGUCCAGCUGGACAUACAGAUCAGGGAGGCUGUCGUGGCAGUCCAUCAAGGGGACCCACCUCACCAUCACCCAGGCCCUCAGGCAGCCCCUCCACAGGGCCCCUCUCCUGCCUGGACAGCUCUGCUGGUCUCCCCGUCCCCUGGAGAA